UACGAAGGGGGCUAGCGUUGCUCGGAAUCACUGGGCGUAAAGGGCGCGUAGGCGGAUCUUUAAGUCGGGGGUGAAAGCCCGAGGCUCAACCUCAGAAUUGCCUUCGAUACUGGAGAUCUUGAGACCGGAAGAGGUAAGUGGAACUGCGAGUGUAGAGGUGAAAUUCGUAGAUAUUCGGAAGAACACCAGUGGCGAAGGCGGCUCACUGGACCGGUAUUGACGCUGAGGUGCGAAAGCGUGGGGAGCAAACAGG
rnacentral:rRNA from 1 species